AACCUAGCACACCUGCGGUGUGUACCUGCGGAGGGAUCAUUACAGAGAUUGAUGCACCAAGUGCAUCACCUCCAACCCCUUGCGAAAACAACUAUCAUGUGUUGCUUUGGCAGUGUUUCCACUGCCAGAGGUUUACAUAAAAUCAGCUGUUUGGAUGUUGUCUGAGUAAACUAUAUGAAUUAUUUAAAACUUUCAACAAUGGAUCU
rnacentral:misc_RNA from 1 species